CAGUCUCUUUUAAGAACGAGGUAACGCAUGCCUUUUCCUGAUUUAGCAUCUAGGACCGCAGUGCAUUAUAAAAUUACGAACGAGAGAGAUUUCAAAGACUAGCGAAAUUUGCCAAUUUAAAUGUCCUGUGUCAGAGCAUUUUAAUCAUUACCAUCUAAAAAAAUAUCAUCCAGAAUAUGAAGAGCUUGGACAUAAUUUGUCAAUGUGCCGUAGCCUACAGCUGUCUAGCUAAAUUGCUAGGUAGCGAACCUAUUAGAUAUAAAAAGUUUAGCAAUCUGAGAAUUCCUACAGAAUCUCUGGUAGGCUACCUGAACAUGCAUCUGGGCUUUUCCCGUGGCUUUGAAAUCGAGAUUCUAUUCUGGGUUGAACAUAAGGUGUUGGCCAAUACAGUUCAGAGAUGUAGGCCUACCUGUUGAUUUAUAUAGGCCAUUUUUGUUUGUUUGCCUUUCCGGUGUGGGAAGGAGAAGCGCGUGUGCCAUUUACGGUCUGUUAGCUAAUGAACACACGGAGUUUGUGAAAACAACGUGAACGGCCACCGAAAACGACCUGUUCAUCUCGAUGGGCCCCAUCCCCGCUAACUCUCCAGGAGAGAGCGAAUAGCGGUAAGCGGAAUAGCGGAUGGCGGCGGUCUCUCGGCGCGGACUCCUGAAAGGCGCUGUUUGUUCUACGCGCGAUAAAAUGUCUCCCCGCGGCACGUCGCUUUAGCCCAUAAGAUAACGCCAAUAUUUAUUUCCUCCUCUCCUCUGCGGUCCCGCCUGCACCUGACAUUUUCGUCGGGCCGGCUGUACCCAGCGAUGAAAACGCGGGGAUAAAACCCAGAGACAACGCGGGCAGCGGAAGAUGAAGGCUGACUGCGUUUUUAAACAGAUACCGCUGCGCGUCAGUCUUACUUCACUUUGUGUUAAAAGAAGUACACUGACGGAAGAUAAGAGCUAAACGUGUGUGUGUGUAAAGAUGAGGCCGAAAUGUUUCUAAAGAUAUCGCGCUUCCAUCUGUGAAAACUCCAUCUUUUAUCCCCAAUGGUUGCAUGAAACAAUGCUGAACGAUGAUCUUUAAAGAAUGCUGUCAUUUGUUUUAUCGGCACACCUGUGCUUUUAACUUGCAUCACUAAGAGAGAAGUUCAUUUCCAUUUAAAAUAUAGUGUGCUGAAACGAACACUGCGAAGGCAGUGCUUUUGGUGUGUGACAUUG